AUUGAACGCUGGCGGCAUGCCUUACACAUGCAAGUCGAACGGUAGCAGGUCUUCGGAUGCUGACGAGUGGCGAACGGGUGAGUAAUACAUCGGAACGUGCCCGAUCGUGGGGGAUAACGGAGCGAAAGCUUUGCUAAUACCGCAUACGAUCUACGGAUGAAAGCAGGGGACCGCAAGGCCUUGCGCGGACGGAGCGGCCGAUGGCGGAUUAGGUAGUUGGUGGGGUAAAAGCUUACCAAGCCGACGAUCUGUAGCUGGUCUGAGAGGACGACCAGCCACACUGGGACUGAGACACGGCCCAGACUCCUACGGGAGGCAGCAGUGGGGAAUUUUGGACAAUGGGCGAAAGCCUGAUCCAGCCAUGCCGCGUGCAGGAUGAAGGCCUUCGGGUUGUAAACUGCUUUUGUACGGAACGAAAAGACUCUUUCUAAUAAAGAGGGUCCAUGACGGUACCGUAAGAAUAAGCACCGGCUAACUACGUGCCAGCCGCCGCCGUAA
rnacentral:rRNA from 1 species